GAGAAAGGCUGGAAGCAACUAAGACUGCUGAUCUAUGUGCCCUCGGUUAAACUCCGGGGCUCUCUCA
rnacentral:tRNA from 1 species